UACGGAAGGGGCUAGCGUUGUUCGGAAUUACUGGGCGUAAAGAGCGCUCAGGCGGCUUACCAAGUUGGGGGUGAAAUCCCGGAGCUCAACUCCGGAACUGCCUUCAAAACUGGUAGGCUCGAGUCCGGAAGAGGGGCGUGGAAUUCCCAGUGUAGAGGUGAAAUUCGUAGAUAUUGGGAAGAACACCGGUGGCGAAGGAGGCGCCCUGGGCCGGUAAUGACGCUGAGGCGCGAAAGCGUGGGGAGCAAACAGG
rnacentral:rRNA from 1 species